UGGGGAAUAUUGCACAAUAGGCGCAAGCCUGAUGCAGCAACGCCGCGUGAGGGACGACGGCCUUCGGGUUGUAAACCUCUUUUGGCAGGGAAGAAGCGAAAGUGACGGUACCUGCAGAAAAAGCACCGGCUAACUACGUGCCAGCAGCCGCGGUGAUACGUAGGGUGCAAGCGUUGUCCGGAAUUAUUGGGCGUAAAGAGCUCGUAGGCGGUUUGUCGCGUCUGCUGUGAAAACCCGAGGCUCAACCUCGGGCCUGCAGUGGGUACGGGCAAACUAGAGUGCGGUAGGGGAGAUUGGAAUUCCUGGUGUAGCGGUGGAAUGCGCAGAUAUCAGGAGGAACACCGAUGGCGAAGGCAGAUCUCUGAGCCGUAACUGACGCUGAGGAGCGAAAGCAUGGGGAGCGAACA
rnacentral:rRNA from 1 species